GGGCUGGUAGCGCAGCUCGGAAGCGCGCCUCCUUGGCAUGGAGGAGGCCCCGGGUUCAAAUCCCGGCCAGUCCACCA
rnacentral:tRNA from 1 species